rnacentral:rRNA from 1 species
UACGUAGGGUGCAAGCGUUGUCCGGAAUUAUUGGGCGUAAAGAGCUCGUAGGCGGCUUGUCACGUCGACUGUGAAAACCCGGGGCUCAACUCCGGGCCUGCAGUCGAUACGGGCUGGCUUGAGUGCGGUAGGGGAGAUUGGAAUUCCUGGUGUAGCGGUGGAAUGCGCAGAUAUCAGGAGGAACACCGAUGGCGAAGGCAGCCUCCUGGGCCAGCACUGACGCUCAUGCACGAAAGCGUGGGGAGCAAACAGG